AUUCUGGUAAGAAAUCACAAUUUUACUCUGUUUCUGUGCUUAAUACAAAAAUGUAAUCAUUCGUGUUUAUAAUAGUGUGGUAGUAAGUGUUUGAAUAAUGAAUUGUUUAUCAUGCACGUAGAUAAGUAACAAAUAAGCGGGAUAUUUUGUGGCCUUCUAAUAGCGUCUAGAAUAUUCUAUGACGCAAUAAAUUAGAUUUUUUGUUGAAAAUUUCAUUCAUGUCACUUCAUUCGUGUACGUUUUUUGAGUAACACUAAUGAAAUUCCAUUCGACACGAAUGAAGCGGUUUAUUACUUCACUCCGAAAAGGAGGGUUUUUUUUAUGGUAGGUAAAAAUCAUCAAAUGACGAAUCCCGCCCUUGGGCAGAGCGGGAAACAGUGUCAGAAUUUUACUGACUAAAGACUACCCCGUUCCUUCCAUGCCAUUCGUACUGGGCCCCAGCAGGCUUCGACCCUUCAUCAGGGUCACUACAGUUGCUGACAACUUUUUUUUUUUUUUUUAUGAAACAAGCCGGUAAUCGAGCAGACGUAUUACCUGAUGGUAAGCAAUCGCCGCCGCCCAUGGACACUUGAAACACCAGAGGCGUUACAAGUGCGUUGCCGGCUUUUUGGGAGUUAGGAAUUUAAGGGUUGUUGUUCGGGAAUCGGGGAUGGGGAAGAUUGGGAAGGGGGAAUUGGGCCUCCGGUAACGUCACUCACACAACGAAACACAACGCAAGCGUUGUUUCACGUCGGUUUUCUGUGAGGCCGUGGUAUCACUCCGGUCGAGCCGGCCCAUAAGGCCCGGUCAUGUAACUUUUAUCUUACAUCAAACUGUAGAAAUAUGAAUAUGAAAUGCAAUAAUUGCUUUAAAUUACGUUGGCCCUGUGUAUGUAGAUGUAGAAGUAUAUUGGUUCGUAAGUGUUAGAUAAAAUCAAAUAAUUGUAUAUUUUACGUUAUAAAAAGCAAAGUUGUUGUCUUGAAAAGGUGCCAUUGCACACACGACUGAGAAAAGUUAUAUAGUCUGUGUAUUUGUUUAAAAAAAAACUUAAGUUGCUUUAUCGCGAGGCUCUAUGGUUUUUGCUGUUUGCAUAUUUUAAUGAAGCGAAGCGAUAUAUCAUAUGAAAUAUGCUAUCUCGCGUAUGUUUACGUUGAACUAAGUAACUACAAAUUUAAUUAUUAUCCAUAAUUAUAAUUUAAUAAUAAUUAUAUAUUUUUUGUAUAAUUUAGUUUACUUCUUUUAGUUAAUGUAUGUCGUGGUCUGAUAUGUUAUUAAAAGUCAAUGUUUAAAUUUUUUUAGUAAAUUUUUGUGACUAAUCGAAGUACUAUCCAGUUUUUAAACGAUUUAGAGGUCAUAAAUGAAUUAGAUAUUUAUUGGGAUACUAAAUUAACCUCUUUUUAUGCACUCCAGUGUAUGGUAUGGAUAGUGGUAUUAUAGUGUAAGAAUAAAUUCUCAUUUCUGUAAUGUUAUUACAUCUGCGCUUACAAAUGUUGGUGGCCAACGUUGGGUCAAAAUGUUGGUGUGAUUGGUCCAAUAUUUGUGGGCGUGGUUAUAUUGUAUGAUACAUUCCAAUCAUAGCAUAGUUUCACUUCACAUCGCUGUGUCAGAUACUUAGUGGUUGUUGGGCGACUUUUUAGUAAAUUGUGUGAUAUGAAAUGUUCCUCAAAAUAAGUAUAGACGCAUCAUAAAACUACCCGAUUCGUUCUGUAAUAGAUUUUAGACUUUAUUACAAAGGGAUACAGUUGAAAGUUAAUUGAAGACAUUCGACAGUAUAGAAAACAUCUUAUGGUCUAUUUUUUGGAUUAAGACCUGCUCAUAUGAAUGUACCAAUACUUUAUUGAUAAAUUAUAUCAGUAAGUAGAAAUAGGAAAGUAGGAUUUCUUAUUCUAUUAUUCAAGUUGUUCCCUAGAAUUUGUUUGUCUUCCAUAGUUCUCGUUACUGCCCAAAUCACAUGUAAAAAGUCGUCCAACUUGAAUUUAAUUAAUUAUAUGUAAUUAUGUAUGUUGUCCACAGUGUUUGUGUGAUACAAUCAGUAUGUAUAGAUUUCGCUUAAAUAAAUAAAAUUGUAUUCAA